rnacentral:rRNA from 1 species
UACGAAGGGGGCUAGCGUUGCUCGGAAUCACUGGGCGUAAAGCGCACGUAGGCGGCUUUUUAAGUCAGGGGUGAAAUCCUGGAGCUCAACUCCAGAACUGCCUUUGAUACUGAGAAGCUUGAGUCCGGGAGAGGUGAGUGGAACUGCGAGUGUAGAGGUGAAAUUCGUAGAUAUUCGCAAGAACACCAGUGGCGAAGGCGGCUCACUGGCCCGGUACUGACGCUCAUGCACGAAAGCGUGGGGAGCAAACAGG